GCGUGAAGCGGCCACACCCACACAGAGGACGGGCGCAGCCUGUCUACCAGGUGACUCCUGUAGCGCCGUGCUUCCCGGAAGCGCCAAACGGUAGUUAGUCCUAAAAAGUGGAGAACAUGUCAUUUGCCAGAGUUCCUCUAAGGAGACGCUGUCCUGCAAGGAGAAAUCUCUUCCACGACAGUUCCUGUAGACGGGCUCCUGGCCACGCACCGGCCCGUGCUCCCGUUUUCCCGGUGUCCUUCUGUAACUUGUAACUGCUGUUUCGGAAAUGUCUUCCCCUUUCUUGUUUUCUUUUUAAAUUAAAGUAUACAAUGUUCAGAAA